AUACGUAGGUGACAAGCGUUAUCCGGAUUUACUGGGCGUAAAGGGCGUGUAGGCGGUCUUGCAAGUCAGAAGUGAAAUUCCUGAGCUCAACUCGGGCGCUGCUUCUGAAACUGCAGGACUUGAGUGCUGGAGGGGAUAGCGGAAUUCCUAGUGGAGCGGUAAAAUGCGCAGAUAUUAGGAAGAACACCGGUGGCGAAGGCGGCUAUCUGGACAGUAACUGACGCUGAGGCGCGAAAGCGUGGGGAGCAAACAGGAGUAGAUACCCUGGUAGUCCACGCUGUAAACGAUGAAUACUAGGUGUAGGGGGUAUCGACUCCCUCUGUGCCGCAGUUAACACAAUAAGUAUUCCGCCUGGGGAGUACGGCCGCAAGGUUGGAACUCAAAUGAAUUGACGGGG
rnacentral:rRNA from 1 species